UUCAAUGCUUUGACCUCAGAAAAAGUUAGAGGUGCUACACUUGUUGUGUCAGGGGAUGGUCGCUAUUUUUCAAAGGAAGCAAUUCAGAUUAUUACCAAAAUGGCAGCAGCAAAUGGAGUAAAGACGUGUUUGGAUUGGUCAAAACGGAUUGCUUUCAACUCCUGCUGUAUCUGCUGUUAUACGUGAAAGAGUGGGGGUUGAUGGAUCCAGAGCAACAGGUGCAUUUAUACUGACUGCAAGUCAUAAUCCUGGUGGACCUCAUGAG